GGAUGAUCAUCUUUGAAGGGAAAAGAUCCUGCCUGUGUAGAGAAGAAUUCUCAGGACUGUCUUUGAGCAAAAUCUACUUAUGAACCACCUCUAAUCGUCGAAGGAAGCUCUGGAUUGAGAUUAGUAUCCACAGCAGAAAGGAAUCUACAGACACUACUGUGUGCGAGUAAUGUUGUGGGCGCUCGUCCAAGCUCAGGAACGAGUGGAAUGUACCCCUUCUCCAAGGUGAAAGACUGCAUAGACAUAUGUUUUCCACGGUGACUGGCAUUACCAAGCAACCUGAUGGAGAGCUGACAACACCUUGGCAAGCAGAGAAUAAUAAGGUAAAUUAUCAGCAAUAUUAAGAGAACCCAGUUACGAGCCUCACCUUUACUUUGGCCUGCGACGUUACUGGCUGUUACUUGGGGAAAAAAAAA